ACUAUUGACAGUUGGCAUUGGCACCAGCACUCCCCGCAAACCUCAUGAGGAUAAGCAGCUAAGAAGAUAGAUGGAUGGGUAAAUCCAAUGGAAUUGAAAUAUGGGACUUGUAGCCAAAGAAUGACUUAAAGACCUAUCGAGAACAUCAGUUCAGUCCCGUCACCUGAAAUGACAGCAAAAAAAUAAGAUGAUUCCUGAAUCUUGAAAGAAGAAGGCCUCAAAGAAGUUACAGAAAGUACUGCACUUCCUAGGGGUCACUGCAGUGUUGGAGCCUAUCCCAGCUAUCUUCAGCCAGGAGGCAGAGUACACCCUGACCUGGUUGCCAGCCAAUCGCACGGUACAUGGAGACAGAGAACGGUGGCACUCACAAUCACACCUAGGGGCAAUUUAGAGUCUCCAAUUGAUGCAUGUUCUUGGGAUGUGGGAGGAAAUUGGAGUGCCCGGAAAAAACCCCAGAGCUCAUGCAAACUCCACACAGGUGGAAUUGGGAUUUGAACCCCUGUCCUUAAAAUUGUGAGUCUAACACUCUUAGCGGUCGUGCCACUGCACAUUUCUUCUUUCUUUCUUACAGUAUUUGGGAAAUGAGGUCAAAAUGUUCGGGACACUGGUCGAGAUUAUGGAGCCAUGGUGUGAAUUUUGUUACAACAAUAGAAUGACUGCUAUCCCACUCAAUCAGCCAAAAAUAUACAUUAUUUAAACAGGAUCAGUUGUUCUUAUCAGGUUACCACAACACAUUGUGUUCCAAAGUAAACAGAGAGGACAGUGGUUUUAUAUAAUUUCUGCCAUUGCUACACAGAGAAUUCCUUUAGUGUGAAGAGGUUCUGCAGCUGAAAGGCCCCUUCCCCCUUUUUCUUAAAUACGGACCAACAGGUAUACAGGUAAUGUAAACAAUAAAUGUGUGCGUGUGCGUGUGAAUCAGCAUCCUGCUCCUUAGACAUAGCGGUACAGGGAUGGGACCUCUCAAGGGAAACGGAUAGGCAAGUGUUUCCCUCCUGGAGCAGGAAAUGGGCGAACCCUUGCCUGAAAUUAUGACUCCAGUCUUUUGUCAUGUGAAGGAAGCCACUCCUGAUAGCACAGGCUAUAGGUUUCCUGUUGAGGGCCAAUCGUUUUGGCUUCGCUGAGUGCGGGCAGGAAGGCUGAAGAAUGCUGGGUCAUGAGCAGCCCAAAUUCUUACUCCAGCUUGGUAUCUUGUCACAAACAGCUUCUGUAUUGCUCCUCCCAGAACUAUACACCUAACUACAGUUAUUUGGAGAUUUAAAACACACACUGGACAUUUAGGGUGCAAAACAAGUAUGUGCCCCCUUUUCAAAUAUGUAUUUUUUCCCUCAACUUUCAUGUCUAAGAUCAUUUUUAAUGUUUAAGAUCAUCAAACAAAAGUAGAUAUCAGACUAAAUUCACCCAAGUAAACAUAAAAUGCGGUCUUAAAGUUGUGAUUUUAUUUAAGUAAAAAGAAGUAAUUCAGAGCGACAUGGCCCUGUAUGAUGAAGUAAAAAAAAGUGCAACGGCAACUAGGAAGAGUACCGAGCCAAUAUUUGAUAUUCGAGAAGCAUAUCAGUGCUUCGUAGCUUUAUUGUUCCCACCACCGAGCUCAGCUGUGCAAUGGGAGAAGUGAGUUAACCCGGAGGAGGACAACCUCAGCCCCGAACAGGACAUCUACUGACCACAGUCAGGUGACGGUAGAUGACAGGUUAACAUGGUCUUUUUGCAAAAGUGCCAUGCACAUUGAAUGAAAAUAUCUGGAAGUUUCCCAGUCGGAUCAUAAUUUUUUCAGAGAAUAAUUUGUCAAUUUUGCUUUUAAAAUGGAAGGCAAAAAUGCACAAUUAAAUGAAAAUAUUGUGAUGAAUACAGGACGUUUUUACCCGAGCGGUACUUUUGUUGAGCGCAACGACAAGCCACUUUGCCUUCUGUGUCAGACAUCUAUCGCGCAUUUCACACCUUCAAAUGGUCGUAUCACCUCACUCCAUGCUAACAUCAACCUGGAAUUUCCAAAAGGGACUGAACUUUGCAGUCUUAAGUUAGUCACUUUGACAAGUAAGACAGAAAAACAGAUGCAGUUUAAAAAAUAGAUAAAUAAAUGAAGCCACCCGAGACUAAUGCUUGCAUCGUGUCAACGUUGCAAGGGCCACUAACCAAUUCAAUGAAGGAGAAUUUAUUUCAAAGCGGCUUCGGUGACGUUGAGGAAAUCUUGGGUCCUGAAAACCAAAAUCUUGACAAAUGGUAUCAGACCUUCAACUGCCACACCGAGCAGAGAAUAUCACAUCAUGUGAGUAUUUUAGUGUUGCAUACUAGUUGAACUCAUAGUUUGUUUGUGUAAGAGAGGACACGUUUUUUUUAAUUAUUAUUAUUAUUUAAUUCUGUAGUCUUAGUACUCUGUAGGAGUUGAGUUUUCUUGUCAUCACGUUGGUGUGUGACAUUUACAAUAAAUCUGGCUGAGCAAAGGUAUGUGUGUGAGGAGGGAAUCAUGUUGAUAUGUAUGAUGUGGCUCUUGAAGUGAAUUCAGCUCUAUAUCUGAAUAUCUUGAAGGAGAAUGUUUAACCUUAAGUGUGUGACCUCAAGCCGAAGCACGCUUGUGGGUCCUGGAAAAGGAUAAUGAUCCAAAAUAUACCAGCAGGUCACCCUCUGAAUGAUAUCAAAAAGCAAAAUUAAAGAGCAACUGACACCAAAAUAUAUAUUUUAAAAUAGAGAUUGUUAUGAAAAUGACAUAUAAUAUUAUUUACUUCGAUGUCACUACGGGAAAAAAGUGAGCGGAGAGCGUGCUAAUGGCCAUACUGCCUUCCUGGAACAUUUGCUGGAAUUAACAUUUGUUCAAGUUUGGUGACUAUACGUCGUUUGGCUAGUUAGCUCAUGUUACACACUACUAAACUGUCUUUGUACUUCUAUUUUGUUAUUGUUUUGUCUUGUACUGUAUUGUGUAUGAUUAAACGCAAUACAAGUGCGUAGUUAUAUUUUGAUGGAUAGACAAAGGGGAUUUAUUCUAAAUUCACACAUAACAAAUGCUAUAAACUGUGAGACAAAUUAGUCCCCCCCCCAAAUAUUAUUUUUUUUUAAUAGCUCUAUCAACACUUGUCAUUUGGAACACACAAAGUCUUGUUCUUUGCACCUGUGCAAUUCAUUUUUCACAACGAAUCCGGUCUUUUGGAAACGUGUGAGGAGUGAAUCCAUCCUCCCGAGUGUUCGAGCAAAAUCCAGCAAUACAAUGAGCCGGCAUUUUGGCUAGCACACAGAACAAAACAGCUAAUUUCUCGCCAGUGACUCCACAGCUGUUGUCGUCUGCAAAAACAUCACUUCCUAGUUCUUUUCCAACAGAAAUGCCUCAAGAGAAUUUUCAUGGCACGGGUGAAAAAAUCCAUAUGGCAACAUUCUGACGUGCUGUGAACAAACAGAUGAUUUUUUUUGGUUAACAACAUACUACAAAUUAUGUUUUAGGUGUCAGUGGCCCUUUAAGGUUUCGAAAAUCGCCUACUCCACGUCAGGAUUUGAAUCCGAUUGAAGUUUGCAGUUUUCUCAUCCUGCAUAGUGACCUGAUGCAAAGGUUUUCUAUAUUUUUUUAAUCUAGAACUGAUUUUUUUUUCAAUGAAAUAUAAAGGCAUCAAUAGUUUCAGAGAAUACUAUCGUUGUUCAACAACUGCUCAAGUAAAAAUUGUGCUUGAAGAAAUAUUAAUUUCCCAAAAUUGACAGUUUCUCAUGCAACUUGUGGCUAUCAAAAUUAUUUACUUUGCAUAAAAAGGCUUUUAACUAAAACUACCAUUUGAGAAUACAAUUUCACAGAAAGGAACCAAAUUAACUGUAAAUGGUUACAUUUUCUCCAAAAUAUUUUGAAGGGGUUUUUUUUGUCCAGUGUGGUUUUAGAAUGACAAGACACCUUAUUCUAUCAAAACUCUUGACCAAUAGCUGUGUACAACCACGUUACUUGAGAUUGGGCAGCUUCUCUCUGUGAUAAAUGGUAAAUUCAUUGACGGACGUCGCACUGCAAGUGAGUGAAGCUCAGCCACCUCACAAUCUGCCAACUUUGUGGGCCACGUCUUAAGUAAAUACAACAAUAAAAUUUUUGUGCCACUGUGUCAUGCAUGAAACAUUUUUUUGGAAUUACGUGGGCCCAUCUUGUUAAGGGAAAAAAAAAAGUAUCGUAAACUGAUGCAAAUCAAGUCAGGGACUUCAGUUUUGUUCGUACAGAUGAAACCAUGCAUUGUAUUGUAGUUUGUAACAUUAUACAUACUGUAAAUGAUGACAGAAAGUAUGAGAGUGAGUGAGUGAGUGAGUGAGUGAGUGAAGUGAGUGAGUGAGUGAGUGAGUGAGUGAGUGAGUGAGUGAGUGAGUGAGUGAGUGAGUGAGACGAUGCACUCAAGAAUAACUGU